GCCUCAGUCAGCCAACAGCCAAGUAAAAGCAAAGCAGUGGAGCACUUUGCCACGACCCUGUGUGGCAUGUGGCAGUUGUAAACGCAUCGUGUGCAAGUCAAGUUGUUAGCAGCGGUUAACGUGUGAAUUUAAAGUAAAGAAAAAAAUAAACGACAACGCGGUGUAGAAGUGAAUUUGAAGUAGAGAGCGUGUGUGAAUAGAAGAAGUCUUGAAAGUUUAUCAGUAAAAAUUUAACAAAAAAAAUAAUAAUAUUUAAUGAAUGCAAUUGAUUGUUGCUGUGUUGUGUGUGAGAAAAGUAAUUAUUGAACAAACGCUUCAAUGAGCUACUGAUAGACGAGUGCGUGAAUGUGUAAAAGUCAGUCACACGCUAAGUUAAACGCUGCUGGCUGAUAAGCUACACAUGUAUAUGUGUAUGUAUGUAUGUAUAUAUGGCUACAGAGCAAGCCACUGAAGUAUCGAGCGGAAGCGUAAAUAUUUAGAAAAUAUACAAAGAAAACAUUUGCUAUAAGAAAAUUGUGCAAAAGGUCAACGAAAGUUCACCAAAAGCAACCGGCAACGCCUUGACGCUCGACGAAGUGAACAGAGAAUUGACGCUAUUUUGUGACAGUUACGCCUGCAAUAAGCGCGAAGGGGUGUUGAGAGUGGCAGUGCAAAAGUGUUGCGCGGAAGUGACAAUUAUACAGUAAAAAGAAGAAGAGGUGGAAGCUAAAGUGACAUUUGUGAACGUUUAAGAAGACACUUGAGUGUUGGUAGGCUCAUAAGAACUUUUAUGAUCCCAGACUAGUGCUAUAAAAAGUGGUGUAAAGUGGUGGAGCGCCUCUGAAAAAGGAAAUCAAAAUAAGCCAGUGAGCGAGCGCCAGAGGAUUGGCGAAAACCAAAGUCCAAAAUCAAAAAUAAUUGAAAUUGAAUUAAAUCCUGCGAAUGAAACGACAAGCAAACAAAACAAAUUGAAAUGAAAGAAAAUUAUAUUUUUGAAAAUCAAUCAGCAAAUCCAAUUGUAUUGUUGAUGAAAGUGAGCAGUUAGACCAACCAACAAAACAGUGAAGAAAUAAAAAAAGUUGCAAGAAAAAAAAA